rnacentral:lncRNA from 1 species
GUCGUUCCCAAGUCAACUUUCGUUUGGUUGGUGGUUUGAGGACCUUGUGCGAUGUUUUUAGAGAAGAGUUGCUUGAUGGUCGCCAGAUCCCCUCCUCUGUACUCAAGAGCUUGGUACUGACAAUAGAUGCAGCUGUAUAUGGCAAUGGUAUGUAGGUUGAACGUCAGGGAUGGAUAUUCUCGGGGGGGGGGGGGAGGUACUAGCCUUGGCAAAGGGUGUGUGUGUGCCAAUUUCCUUACUGAAUCCAUUUUUAAAAUUUUUUACAAAAAAUAAAAUAUAGAUAAAAUAAGAUAGCAACAUAAUUGUGAGAUUGUCAAGCAAGUUAGCCAUGCUGCGUAGCUCCCAUCAGUGAUUACAAACUUGGUCAACGGUCGCACUCUGAACCAUGAGCAAAGCUUGAUGAGCUAGCACACCUCCCCCCCCCCCCCUACCGUAUCUGGCUGGAUCCAUGUUUUACAAAUAAAUAUUCAUCUUUGUUUCGCCCACUAAUUGUGACUGCCUUCAAAAAAUGGGUUAUUCUGUCGAAUGUCACUCGUGUUUAAUUUUUUGGUAGACAUGUGUCGUGACAGUAUUGCCGAACUGGAAAUUGUACCUCUCCUUUUGCAAUCUCUUCGACUAUGUUUUGCAUCGCCAAAAUUUAAAAUACAAUGUUUAAUAACACUUGCUGCAUGUAUUGAAGGAUGUG